rnacentral:rRNA from 1 species
AUGUGCGAGCGUUGUUCGGAAUUACUGGGCAUAAAGGGUUCGUAGGCGGUUUGAUAAGUUGGACGUGGAAUCCUCGGCUUAACCGGGGGAAUUGCGCUCAAUACUGUCAGACUUGAGUGUGAAAGAGGCAAGUGGAAUUCCAGGUGUAGCGGUGGAAUGCGUAGAUAUCUGGGAGAACGCCAAUGCGAAGGCAGCUUGCU